ACUUCCUCGUUUGCAAACUGCUUCACUUCUGAGAGACCAGGGCCCUUUCCAGUAGCUUUAGGGAUGCUGUCCAUGACCCAAACUUGGAGGAGGACAAGUGAAUGCAUCUCAUAAAGGAGAAGACUGGGAAGCCAAGGCGGAGAAGGACAUGUGAGACUGGGCAGGCUUCAGCUGUCAUCUGUGGGAAGUGGCUUUUGGUUGACCAGCGGUACUUCCCAGUGUCAGCACGUGUGUUGUGUCGGCAGCUCAGACCUUGCGCUGAGGGGCCCCUGUCCUCAGCCACCCUUCAUCUUGGGAAAACUCUCUGGUGUAGAGCAGGGAGGUAGGGAGGCAGGGAGGCAGGGAGGCAGGGAGGCAGGGAGGCAGGGAGGCUUCCUAGUGCUAACUCAACUUGUUUAAACCAUUAUACUUUAUCUAAAUAAUUGCAUUGAAUACUUCGAUACAAGUAAGAACACGCAGGAGAGAAGUAGGAGAGGCUGCCGUGGAAGAAGAAGAAUAUGCAGGAGAGAGAAGGAGAGCUGCCAUGUGCUAAAGGGCCAAGAGAACGUGGCCCAGAGGGCUGCUCAGUUGGGUCAAGAGCAGCCAAGAUGGAACAUAGAAACUAUUGCCUUGCUGAAGUGCCCGCUCUGAAUGAAGAAGAACUGGGUCCUGCAGUCUGUCCACAGGAAGAAGACUGUCUGUGAGCACAGUCUCCAUGUUCACUGUCUCAUGCCGUCCCUGAUAUCAUGGAGGAAAUGAAUGGUCAUUUAAGAAUCCUCAUUGGCUAAAGAGCUGGUGGUUUAAAUGAAUGAAUCUAAUGCAAACUGUGAAGGGCUGGUCCUGGUAUUAAGAAGAUGGACGAUUCUGUGAAGGGAAUGUGCUAAGACUUGUUUGUUGAAAAUGGAAUUAUUAAUGGCUUGUCAGUAAAGUUAAGAAUGCCUUAAAUCAUUCCUCUCUUACUCUAUUCAUAGAAGAAAUAAAACAGAUGAAUUUAUAAAGGGUU
rnacentral:lncRNA from 1 species